AAUCACUGACCGUAUCAAUCCGAACCGAAGAAAGAAGAAACCUUAAAAGUAAGAAAGCAAUCUUCGUCUCCCUCCUCCGUCUCACUGUGACUGUCUCCACGCUUCAUACUUUUCUGCAUUCGAUUUCCAUAAACGCCUGAUCAAUAUGGAUGAGGAGGCAUCUAGGACUGCAAGAGAGUCGCUAGAGCUUGUGUUUCGCAUGUCAAACAUCUUGGACACAGGACUGGACCGGCAUACUUUGUCAGUCCUCAUAGCUCUUUGUGAUCUUGGUGUUAACCCUGAGGCUCUAGCUACUGUUGUGAAGGAGCUUCGGCGUGAGUCUAUUCCUGAUUCUGUCACAACCACACCAUCAUAAUAAUUCCUAAACCACCCUCUUCAGGUAUGCCAAUGUGAUAUACCAAAAGUAAAGGAAACUUGGGGAUUCUACUACUCUUGUGGUUGUUGGUAUGUGAAUGUUGUUACUACUUUUUGUGUGAUUAAAAGAAAGUUGUAUGGAGGAAUUGUAAUUUGUUUUAUUUGUAUAAUUUAGCUUUGUGGAUUAAUUAUAACUUCUUUUUAUUUGCA